rnacentral:rRNA from 1 species
AAUGAACGUUGGCGGCGUGGAUUAGGCAUGCAAGUCGAGCGAGAACCCAGCAAUGGGGGACAGCGGCGAAAGGGACAGUAAUGUGUAGAUUAUCUGCCCUCGGGUCCGGGAUAGCUGCGGGAAACUGCAGGUAAUACCGGAUAACAUCUCCGGAUCAAAGGUGUGAUUCCGCCCGAGGAUGAGUCUGCAUCCUAUUAGCUAGUUGGUAGGGUAAUGGCCUACCAAGGCUUUGAUGGGUAGCAGGUGUGAGAGCACGACCUGCGUCAUUGGGACUGAGACACUGCCCAGACACCUACGGGUGGCUGCAGUCGAGAAUCUUCGGCAAUGGGCGCAAGCCUGACCGAGCGACGCCGCGUGUGGGAUGAAGGCCUUCGGGUUGUAAACCACUGUCAGAGGGGAUGAAAUGCAGGUGGGUUCUCCCAUCUGUUUGACAUAGCCUCAGAGGAAGGACGGGCUAAGUUCGUGCCAGCCGCCGGGUAACAC